GCCCUUAUCAAAUCAUCUCCGUCUUACCUCAUGGGGCAGUUAAACUUAAAAAUCUAAAAAAAUGAAGGGACUUUCAAAGUUAAUGGUUAAAGGCUUAAACCAUACACUGAUGGACAAUCUUUUCAAAGAAAUGUGGAAUCAUCUUUCUAGCGACGUUAAACACUAGUUGUAUCGAGUUUGGUUGUGAGUUUUUUUAUUUUUUAUUUUUCUUUUUGAAUUUAAAAAUUCAUAAAUGUACAAAAAAAAAAAAAAAAAAAAAAAAACAAAUAAAAUAAAAUGUAAAUUAACAUACAACGAAUUGUAUUUCCCCCUUCUCAUUGCACACGGUAAAGGGACAACUUUUUGUAAAAAAAUAUCGAUCCCCCGCGCCCAUCCAUUCUUGCCCUACCUUCCAUUCCCAAACACAGUUUUCUUCUCCUUCCUUGCGAAACCCUUAACCCACCUCCAAUCCCAAUUUGUUGGUUCGCUCCUCGCUGAUCUCUUCUCCUCUUCCACGGUGUCACGGCUGUGAUUUCCGGCGCCAUGGUUCUGAGUUGUUUUCCGCCGACAGGUUGAGGUUCGCCCUUUGCGUCGCCUCUUUGGGUUUCGGUUGGGUGCGAUUGGGGAAGUUGGGUUGCCGGUUUCUAGGUUGCCGAGUUUGAGGUUCGCCGAGUUUGGUUGCGAGUUUGUGAAUCGUCGUUCUCUCCGGCGAUCGCUGCUACAUCGCCGGUUCCUUCCGGCGAGUUUCUGCAUCGCCGGUUCCUUCCGACGUGUUUCUGAAUCGCCGUUUCUUUCCGGCGUGUUUGUGAAUCGCCGUGUUCUCCAGCGAUUCUGGCUAGGUUCGUCUCUGUCGCGUUGCUGGGUUGCGGGUCUCGCCGGCGAUUUCGGCUGGGUUCUCUGUCGCGCUUCUGGGUCGCUUUUCUCCGGCGAUUUUGACUUGUUCUUCCGGCGAGAUUGUGCAGCGAUUUUGGCUGGAUUCCUCUUUGAUUCCGGUUGGUUUCUUCAGCGAUUUUUUUUUAUUGGUUUCUUCUCCAGCGAGCUUGUGGGUUGCCGUUAUCCUUGCGGUUAAUUGUUUCGGGUCAAUAAAAUUCAAAUUGACUAAUUUUGGUUCACUAAAGCCUUUUUAGAAUCAAGCAAAAGCAUUCAGAAAAAGUUCAGAAAAUGGCAAAAAGAGGUCGCGGUCCAUUACUCGUAUAGCGUGUUUAUUCUUCAAAAGCGGUCAAUCUCGAGCCUUUGAUGAUGUUCCCAAAGAUGAAGAAGCAAACCAAUUAGCCCGGGGCCAAAAUGGAGCUAAAAAAGGCUUAAAGGAAAUUUCCAACUCUAAGGGUGGGGGAUCGAUCCCCCACUAUUCACAGAACUAAAAAUGCCCUUGGGGGAUCGAUCCCCAAGGCUGUGGGAUCAUCCCCCAAGCCCUGGCAGUAUUACGAGAUUUUGUCCUUUGUGCUUAUUUGCUUGUAACUUAUGGGCUUUAAUAAUGUUUGUUACUUAAGGAAAACAAGCCCAUUAUUUUUAGGGUUAGUUUUUCAUUAGUUUUGAGAGAGUUUUAUUUUAUUUUUUUUAUGAGGAAGUUUUUCUGUAUCGUGAUAUAUUUUAUUCUCUCUGGAAAACGCAAAAGAGGAGAAAGGAAGAACAAGCUCGGGUGAGGAAGAAAAAGCUCAGAGAUGAUGAAUCCAAGGAUGGAGAUUGUUCUGUCUUCAACUCCAUCAACCUUGAGUGGCUAAUUCUUCUACUUAGGGUUGGAUAAACCCUAAGCAUGUAACUUAUUCUUUCUUUUUUCAUACUUUUUGGGUAUUUAGUAUUUAAUUAUUGUAUAGGUUUGAAAUAUAUGAAUCAAUUCUUCCAAAUGUUUAUUUGUGUUAAUCAUGUGUUGUCUUAUU